rnacentral:rRNA from 1 species
CUUUUUUUACAAAAACAUGUUCUUUUGUUUUAAAUAAAAGAUUUAACCUGCUCUAUGAUUAUUAAAUGGCUGCAGUAUUUUGACUGUACAAAGGUAGCAUAAUAAUUUGUCUUUUAAUUGAAGACUGGUAUGAAUGGUUGGAUGAGAAAUAUACUUUCUUUAUUUUAUAUAAAAAAAUUGAUUUUUUAGUUAAAAAGCUAAAAUAUUUUUAUAGGACGAGAAGACCCUAUAGAACUUUACUUUAAUAUAAAUAUACUAUUUAUAUAUUUUUAAAAUUUUAUAUUUUUAUUAAAGUUUUGUUGGGGUGACAAAAAAAAUUAUAUAACUUUUUUUUAUUAAAUCAUUAAUUUAUGUUUUUUUGAUCCUUUAUUAUGGAAAAUAAGAUUAAGUUACCUUAGGGAUAACAGCGUUAUUUUUUUGGAGAGUUCAUAUUGAUAAGGAAGUUUGCGACCUCGAUGUUGGAUUAAAAUAAGUUACAGGGGUAUAAUAUUGUAUACUAGGUCUGUUCGACCUUUAAAUUUUUACAUGAUCUAGUUUUCAACCGGG